CCUACGGGUGGCUGCAGUGAGGAAUAUUGGUCAAUGGGCGUAAGCCUGAACCAGCCAAGUCGCGUGAGGGAUGAAGGUUCUAUGGAUCGUAAACCUCUUUUAUAAGGGAAUAAAGUGCGGGACGUGUCCCGUUUUGUAUGUACCUUAUGAAUAAGGAUCGGCUAACUCCGUGCCAGAAUCCGCGGUAAUACGGAGGAUCCGAGCGUUAUCCGGAUUUAUUUGGUUUAAAGGGUGCGUAGGCGGCCUUUUAAGUCAGCGGUGAAAGUCUGUGGCUCAACCAUAGACUUGCCGUUGAAACUGGGAGGCUUGAGUUGGUGUGAGGGAGGCGGAAUGCGUGGGGUAGCGGUGAAAUGCAUAGAUAUCACGCAGAACCCCGAUUGCGAAGGCAGCAUGCCAGGCCAUGACUGACGCUGAUGCACGAAAGCGUGGGGAUCAAACAGGAUUAGAUACCCGAGUAGUC
rnacentral:rRNA from 1 species